UCUUCUAUUAGGCUCUUUCUUUCAAACUCCUCGUGGGUUUGAAGAGAGUGCUAUCAAUUAUGCUUGUGAUAUUCUGGUUUUUGUAAGAAAAUAUUUUGCUUUUGAAGCAGAGGAAAGUGGAAAAUGCUGCCAUGCUGCGCCAAGAGCUAUAUCUGCAUCUGAUCCACAAAUCCUUUUUUAGGUACUUUUGGGGUUAUGUGGGGUUGGAUUUAGUGACUUUUUGGCUUUCAGUUCCAGAACUCGUGGGUUAUUACAUUGUUACAGAUCUUUAUUCAGUAACUUAUUUCCUCAUUGGCUGGCUCAUUUCCCCAAACUAUUUGUCCAUUUUCUUCUCGCAGUAGUUUGUCCUCAAUGCUGAAUUUUCUUGUGUUUGAAGCAUAUCUUGCUAGUAUAAAGCAUGUCAAUCCAAAUCAUGGCAAGCAUCUAUUUCCCAAUCUUCGUCUUAGCAACUACGGCGGGCUUUGAUUGCCUGGAUCUCCCACCUUUCCAGUACCCAAGUUCAUAAGUGAAGAGUUUGGUCCACAUGAAGAGUUUGGUCCAUCCACCUACUUGGUUGUUGGGCAGUGUAUUUGGACAUUUUCUUUCCCCAUCCUCGAGACAUAGACUAUAUAUGUGAGAUCUCACAUUGGUUGGAGAGGAGAACGAAGGAUUCUUACAAGGGUGUUAAAACCCCUCCCUAGUAAAUGCAUUUUAAAAAUCUGGAGGGAGGAGAAGUUCAAAGAGAACAAUAUUUACUAGCAGUGACUGCUCCAAUAUAUAUAUAUUAAAACUAUAUUCAAUGAGGUCCACCAUGAUUUUAUCUUGCAAUUAUAUAUAUUAAAACUAUAUUGAAUAUAAGGUCCACCAUGAUUUUAUCUUGCAAUCUUGGAUAGGGAUAGCAGGUGGGGCAUAGAGGCUGUGAGAAUGUGAGAAUGUGAGAAAUACCUAUCCAUCCCUACGCAGGAAGGGGGCAGAUUCCAUUGCACUGAGCUGCCCAUGUUCAAUAAUGUUUGCGAAGGAUAAUGGCACGUGAAGGUUGGAGUCUAGAAAGAAGAUCAUCUCCAACUUUUUGGUAUCAAUUCAUUCCAAGCGUGCAACUUUGCUGCCAUACGAAUUAGUAUUUUAUUGCUACUGAGUAUGGAUGGACCUAUCGUGUUGUGCUAAUCUAUUUUUUUUUUCGCUUCAAUCCAAAACCGAACUUUUAUGUCUAUUUAGUUUAUAAAUUUUUAUAAAUUAGUGGAAAAGCCAUAAAGUUUU